rnacentral:rRNA from 1 species
UACGGAGGGUGCAAGCGUUAUCCGGAUUCACUGGGUUUAAAGGGUGCGUAGGUGGAUUAAUAAGUCAGUGGUGAAAGCUCCGAGCUUAACUCGGAAACCGCCAUUGAUACUGUUAAUCUUGAAUAUAGUGGAGGUUGGCGGAAUAUGACAUGUAGUGGUGAAAUACUUAGAUAUGUCAUAGAACACCAAUUGCGAAGGCAGCUGGCUACACUAUUAUUGACACUGAGGCACGAAAGCGUGGGGAUCAAACAGG